UCAAUGGCCACCGGGCUCACCUGGUGAAACAGGCCUCAAACUUUUCAAAAUGGAGUCGCUCGGCCUGCUGGUGGGAGAGCAGAGCUGUUGGUUAGCCCAGAAAUGGCCACUUGAAGCCACUAUUAUCCAGUAAAUCUCCUCCGCUUUCUAUGUCAAGGAACUUUUCGAGUGUUUGUGAAAGCAAAUGCUGCGCUUACCUGGACCUGUCCACCAUUAACCUGCUGUCUUUAGAGGCCGUUUAUUUAGCUAGCUUGUUUAACGUUAACUGGUCUCUGAAAGCACCCGACAUUCCUCCUCUGCCAACAGCAUUUCUGACCACGGGGUCAGGGCGAGUUGAAUCUCAUGUCAGAAUUGCCCCCACGUUGACCUGCGCCUGACUGGCCUCCCAGCAAAAAGCCCCUGUGAAGCACAAGGCAGAGAGGGCUACGCUGAUCCGAAGGUUGGGAAAAAAAACAAAACAAAAAAAAAAACAUCCUCCUCCUCUCCGCCAGCUGAACAUCUGUCUCUGUGGUGUUGGCAGCAGCGCAGACUCUCGACACAUCCAGAUGGAGAGCCCGCUGGGAGCGCUGAGGUAUUACCUACAGAGAUGGCAGGGAUCACACCUCUGGAAUGAAGUUCCACACUUGUUUUCCGCACCGUCCCCUUUUUUUGUUGUUGAAUCUGUCACAUUUCACCAUAUCGAUUGUCGCCUCCCCAGUCCUUGGCCUCGUGACUCAUCUGAAGAGGAAGAUUUGGCUUGUAAAGAAAUGCAUGACAACAAACCUCUUAGCCCUUUUCUAAUUUACAGUAAUGGGCCGUAUGGUAUUUCAACUGUAACUUCUAUUCGUGGAACUGUAUUAAUUUUUAAUAUAGUUGUGAGAGAACUGCACACUCAUGCAGAUAUAUUUCAAAUGACUGCUGAUUUCCAUUUCCUAGAAACAGGCCUAAAACAGUUUAAAGUUCACACAAACUUCAACCUUAGCUAAAUGGCCUAUAACCUCGUUAGUUCAAAUAUUAAAAGCAAUACCUGCGAAAAUCUAAGGUCUGAGAGGCCGGGAGUUGACUUCUCCGAGCCACUCUGGGUGUCAUGACAGAUUGACUCUGCAUUCAUUUGUGCCUGAACUCUGAGUGAACCUCAGCUUUAGGAAAAAGGGCACCAACAGGCCAGCGCUGCUGGGGCAGAAACUGUUUGCCUGCAAACCUAAAACCCAGUGCAAAUAUUGAAACUGCUGCCCCUUUUAGCAUCAGAUGAGCCUAGGUGGCCAGGUCCGGCAAACGUUUAGCUAAAGGCCAAGCCGAAAUGAGCGCUGAGAUGUUAAAUUACCCACUUAGCUUCUCUGUUGUUUAAAAGGAAAAAUUUAGCGGUUUUAUUUAAAAAAAAAAAAAAAAAAAAAAAAAAAAGUUUAA